UCCCAUAAACCGUGGCUCAGUUCAGAUCGUAGGCUGCAACUCGCCUACGUGAAGGAGGAAUCGCUAGUAAUCGCAGGUCAGCAUACUGCGGUGAAUACGUUCCCGGGCCUUGUACACACCGCCCGUCACACCAUGGAAGUUGGCCACGCCCGAAGCCGUUACUCCAACCCUCGGGAGGAGGACGUCGAAGGUGGGGCUGAUGACUGGGGUGAAGUCGUAACAAGGUAUCCGUACCGGAAGGUGCGGAUGGAUCACCUCCCAA
rnacentral:rRNA from 1 species